ACACUAUUCAAAAAGCAACAAGAAGACUUAAUGCAUGCAUAAAACAAAUUGAGAAUAUGCAUCAAAGUGGUGCUUCAAAUGAAGAUAUUAUGCUCAAAGCUAAAGUGUUAUUCACGAAAGAUUAUAAGUUCAAAGCAGGUUGGAAGUUCGAUCAUGUGUGGAACAUUGUUAAAAAUUUU